rnacentral:rRNA from 11 species
AAGGGUGUCUAAAUAUUCUGUAAGCAUCAUAUCCACCUGGGCUUUGAAGAUAAGCAGUGUUAUGCCUGCAUAGUACUUGGGAGAGGGGUCUGCAAAGAAAUAUCAGGUGCUAUCAGUU